rnacentral:rRNA from 1 species
ACAUCCAGCGGAACUUGGCAGAGAUGCCUUGGUGCCUUCGGGAACGCUGAGACAGGUGCUGCAUGGCUGUCGUCAGCUCGUGUUGUGAAAGUGUUGGGUUAAGUCCCGCAACGAGCGCAACCCUUAUCCUUUGUUGCCAGCGAUUCGGUCGGGAACUCAAAGGAGACUGCCGGUGAUAAACCGGAGGAAGGUGGGGAUGACGUCAAGUCAUCAUGGCCCUUACGAGUAGGGCUACACACGUGCUACAAUGGCGCAUACAAAGAGAAGCGACCUCGCGAGAGCAAGCGGACCUCAUAAAGUGCGUCGUAGUCCGGAUCGGAGUCUGCAACUCGACUCCGUGAAGUCGGAAUCGCUAGUAAUCGUGGAUCAGAAUGCCACGGUGAAUACGUUCCCGGGCCUUGUACACACCGCCCGUCACACCAUGGGAGUGGGUUGCAAAAGAAGUAGGUAGCUUAACCUUCGGGAGGGCGCUUACCACUUUGUGAUUCAUGACUGGGGUGAAGUCGUAACAAGGUAGGCGUAGCGAG